rnacentral:rRNA from 1 species
AGGGAGUAUUGCAAAAUGGGCGAAAGCCCGAUGCAGCAACGCCGCGUGGGCGAUGAAGGCCUUCGGGUCGUAAAGCCCUUUUUGAGGGGAUGAGGAAGGACAGUACCCUCAGAAUAAGCCUCGGCUAACUACGUGCCAGCAGCCGCGGUAAAACGUAGGAGGCGAGCGUUAUCCGGAUUUACUGGGCGUAAAGCGCGUGCAGGCGGAUUGGAGAGUUGGAUGUGAAAGCUCCCGGCUUAACUGGGAGAGGUCGUUCAAUACUUCCAGUCUUGAGUGCAGUAGAGGGAAGUGGAAUUCCGGGUGUAGUGGUGAAAUGCGUAGAUAUCCGGAGGAACACCAGUGGCGAAAGCGGCUUCCUGGACUGUAACUGACGCUCAGACGCGAAAGCUAGGGUAGCAAACG